UGGGGAAUAUUGCACAAUGGGCGCAAGCCUGAUGCAGCCAUGCCGCGUGUGUGAAGAAGGCCUUCGGGUUGUAAAGCACUUUCAGCGAGGAGGAAGGGUUCAGUGUUAAUAGCACUGUUCAUUGACGUUACUCGCAGAAGAAGCACCGGCUAACUCCGUGCCAGCAGCCGCGGUAAUACGGAGGGUGCAAGCGUUAAUCGGAAUUACUGGGCGUAAAGCGCACGCAGGCGGUUUGUUAAGUCAGAUGUGAAAUCCCCGCGCUUAACGUGGAACUGCAUUUGAAACUGGCAAGCUAGAGUCUUGUAGAGGGGGGUAGAAUUCCAGGUGUAGCGGUGAAAUGCGUAGAGAUCUGGAGGAAUACCGGUGGCGAAGGCGGCCCCCUGGACAAAAGACUGACGCUCAGGUGCG
rnacentral:rRNA from 1 species